CACCUGAUAGCACAUGGUGUGUGCCUGCUUUCCUUGUUUGUGUUGCCAAAUGGUUCAAGCAGGGGGUCCCUGUUCAAUUCGGGGUUGGGUGG